CUCAGCUUGAAGGUUGGGCUUAUAUUUAUCAAUACGAACAGUUUCGUCCUGUAAACAUAAGUAAUACCGGCAUUUUCCAGCUUUACUGCCGUUAAGGCUUUAACUAUUUUUUUUUACAGGAUUUAUAUUAUGUCUCAAGUUACUGGUGUUGUUAAGUGGUUUAACUCUGAUAAAGGUUUCGGAUUUAUUGAGCAAGAGUCUGGUCCAGACGUAUUCGUUCAUUUCCGUGCUAUCAACUCAGACGGUUUCAAAACUCUUGACGAAGGUCAGAAAGUUUCUUUCACUGUGACUCAAGGUCAGAAAGGUCCUCAAGCUGAGAACGUUUCAAUCGUUUAGUAUUUAGCUUCGGCUAAGUGUUAAAAGAUUUAAAACUGUAGCAAUUAAUUGCUGCAGUUUUUUU
rnacentral:sRNA from 1 species